GACCUCGGAUCAGGUAGGAC
rnacentral:rRNA from 1 species